rnacentral:rRNA from 1 species
UACGGAGGGUGCGAGCGUUAAUCGGAAUUACUGGGCGUAAAGCGUGCGCAGGCGGUGAGCUGUGUCCGAUGUGAAAGCCCCGGGCUUAACCUGGGAAUGGCAUUGGAAACUGGCUCGCUGGAGUGUGGCAGAGGGGGGUGGAAUUCCGCGUGUAGCAGUGAAAUGCGUAGAGAUGCGGAGGAACACCGAUGGCGAAGGCAGCCCCCUGGGCUAACACUGACGCUCAGGCACGAAAGCGUGGGGAGUAAACAGG